UGAGGAAUAUUGGGCAAUGGGCGAAAGCCUGACCCAGCCACGCCGCGUGUGUGAUGAAGGCCUUCGGGUCGUAAAGCACUGUGGGGAGGGACGAACAUGCGCAUGAGGAAAUGCUUGCGCACUGACGGUACCUCCUUAGCAAGCACCGGCUAACUCUGUGCCAGCAGCCGCGGUAAUACAGAGGGUGCGAACGUUGCUCGGAUUUACUGGGCGUAAAGCGCGUGUAGGCGGACUCGCAAGUCGGUUGUGAAAUCCCUGGGCUCAACCUAGGAACUGCAUCCGAAACUGCUUGUCUUGAGUAAUGGAGAGGGUGGCGGAAUUCCCGGUGUAGAGGUGAAAUUCGUAGAUAUCGGGAGGAACAUCAGUGGCGAAGGCGGCCACCUGGACAUUCACUGACGCUGAGACGCGAAAGCGUGGGGAGCAAACAGGAUUAGAUACCCCCGUAGUCC
rnacentral:rRNA from 1 species